rnacentral:rRNA from 1 species
AUUGAACGCUGGCGGCAUGCUUUACACAUGCAAGUCGAACGGUAACAGGCCGCAAGGUGCUGACGAGUGGCGAACGGGUGAGUAAUGCAUCGGAACGUGCCCAGUCGUGGGGGAUAACUACUCGAAAGAGUAGCUAAUACCGCAUACGAUCUAUGGAUGAAAGCGGGGGACCGUAAGGCCUCGCGCGAUUGGAGCGGCCGAUGUCAGAUUAGGUAGUUGGUGGGGUAAAGGCUCACCAAGCCAACGAUCUGUAGCUGGUCUGAGAGGACAACCAGCCACACUGGGACUGAGACACGGCCCAGACUCCUACGGGAGGCAGCAGUGGGGAAUUUUGGACAAUGGGCGCAAGCCUGAUCCAGCAAUGCCGCGUGCAGGAAGAAGGCCUUCGGGUUGUAAACUGCUUUUGUACGGAACGAAACGGCUCUGGUUAGUACCCGGGGCUAAUGACGGUACCGUAAGAAUAAGCACCGGCUAACUACGUG